rnacentral:rRNA from 1 species
UACGAAGGGGGCUAGCGUUGUUCGGAAUUACUGGGCGUAAAGCGCACGUAGGCGGACUUUUAAGUCAGGUGUGAAAUCCCAAGGCUCAACCUUGGAGCUGCAUUUGAAACUGGAAGUCUUGAGACCAGGAGAGGUUAGCGGAAUACCGAGUGUAGAGGUGAAAUUCGUAGAUAUUCGGUGGAACACCAGUGGCGAAGGCGGCUAACUGGACUGGUACUGACGCUGAGGUGCGAAAGCGUGGGUAGCGAACAGG